rnacentral:rRNA from 1 species
AUUGAACGCUGGCGGCAUGCCUAACACAUGCAAGUCGAGCGGAGCGGCGGACGGGUGAGUAAUGCCUAGGAAUCUGCCUGGUAGUGGGGGAUAACGUCCGGAAACGGGCGCUAAUAUCGCAUACUAUCAGAUGAGCCUAGGUCGGAUUAGCUAGUUGGUGGGGUAAAGGCCUACCAAGGCGACGAUCCGUAACUGGUCUGAGAGGAUGAUCAGUCACACUGGAACUGAGACACGGUCCAGACUCCUACGGGAGGCAGCAGUGGGGAAUAUUGGGCAAGGGGCGAAAGUCUGAUCCAGCAAUGCCGCGUGUGUGAAGAAGGUCUUCGGAUGGUAAAGCACUUUAAGUUGGGAGGCGGUACCAAAAGAAAAAGCAACGGCUAACUUCGUGCCAGCAGCCGCGGUAAUAC